rnacentral:rRNA from 1 species
AUUGAACGCUGGCGGCAGGCCUAACACAUGCAAGUCGAGCGGAUGACGGGAGCUUGCUCCUUGAUUCAGCGGCGGACGGGUGAGUAAUGCCUAGGAAUCUGCCUGGUAGUGGGGGACAACGUUUCGAAAGGAACGCUAAUACCGCAUACGUCCUACGGGAGAAAGCAGGGGACCUUCGGGCCUUGCGCUAUCAGAUGAGCCUAGGUCGGAUUAGCUAGUUGGUGGGGUAAUGGCUCACCAAGGCGACGAUCCGUAACUGGUCUGAGAGGAUGAUCAGUCACACUGGAACUGAGACACGGUCCAGACUCCUACGGGAGGCAGCAGUGGGGAAUAUUGGACAAUGGGCGAAAGCCUGAUCCAGCCAUGCCGCGUGUGUGAAGAAGGUCUUCGGAUUGUAAAGCACUUUAAGUUGGGAGGAAGGGCAGUAAGUUAAUACCUUGCUGUUUUGACGUUACCGACAGAAUAAGCACCGGCUAACUCUGUGCCAGCCGCCGCCGUAA